rnacentral:lncRNA from 13 species
CUUUUGUAUAAUGGUAAAAGAAGAGUAGCUGCUUCAGUGAGUGGGAGGAAGCUGCUCAUGGAUGCAGCCUGCAGUCCUCUACUCUGAUCUAAUGAGGGGCUUUGACUGCCAGCGGAAAAUGGUGACUCAAUUAGACAACGACCUGGUGACUGCCCCUUCUGUCUCCAAGGAGAACACCAGGUAUGUUCCUUAAUUUUGGUAUUUGCCUAUCUCUCCCUCCUCCUUUUUCAAAAUCGAUUCUGAGAGGUGUUUCUUCUCCAUGAUAUCUAAAAC